UUGGUUAGAGCGUGGUGCUAAUAACGCCAAGGUCACAGGUUCGACCCCUGUAGUGAGCA
rnacentral:tRNA from 1 species